CACGUAGGGGGCGAGCGUUGUCCGGAUUUAUUGGGCGUAAAGAGCUCGUAGGUGGUUCGGUAAGUCGAGUGUGAAAGCCCCCGGCUCAACUGGGGAGGGUCACUCGAUACUGAUCGACUUGAAGGCAGGAGAGGGAAGCGGAAUUCCCGGUGUAGUGGUGAAAUGCGUAGAUAUCGGGAGGAACACCAGUGGCGAAGGCGGCUUCCUGGCCUGUUCUUGACGCUGAGGCGCGAAAGCUAGGGGAGCAAACGGG
rnacentral:rRNA from 1 species